rnacentral:rRNA from 1 species
UACGUAGGGGGCAAGCGUUGUCCGGAUUUAUUGGGCGUAAAGAGCGUGUAGGCGGCCAUACAGGUCAGCUGUGAAAACUCGAGGCUCAACCUCGAGAUGCCGAUGGAAACCGUCUGGCUAGAGUCCGGAAGAGGAGAGUGGAAUUCCUGGUGUAGCGGUGAAAUGCGCAGAUAUCAGGAAGAACACCCGUGGCUAAGGCGGCUCUCUAGUACGGUACUGACGCUGAGACGCGAAAGCGUGGGGAGCGAACAGG